UGUUGGGUAGGGGAGCGUUCUGUAAGCCUGCGAAGGUGUGCUGUGAGGCAUGCUGGAGGUAUCAGAAGUGCGAAUGCUGACAUAAGUAACGAUAAAGCGGGUGAAAAGCCCGCUCGCCGGAAGACCAAGGGUUCCUGUCCAACGUUAAUCGGGGCAGGGUGAGUCGACCCCUAAGGCGAGGCCGAAAGGCGUAGUCGAUGGGAAACAGGUUAAUAUUCCUGUACUUGGUGUUACUGCGAAGGGGGGACGGAGAAGGCUAUGUUGGCCGGGCGACGGUUGUCCCGGUUUAAGCGUGUAGGCUGGUUUUCCAGGCAAAUCCGGAAAAUCAAGGCUGAGGCGUGAUGACGAGGCACUACGGUGCUGAAGCAACAAAUGCCCUGCUUCCAGGAAAAGCCUCUAAGCAUCAGGUAACAUCAAAUCGUACCCCAAACCGACACAGGUGGUCAGGUAGAGAAUACCAAGGCGCUUGAGAGAACUCGGGUGAAGGAACUAGGCAAAAUGGUGCCGUAACUUCGGGAGAAGGCACGCUGAUAUGUAGGUGAAGUCCCUUGCGGAUGGAGCUGAAAUCAGUCGAAGAUACCAGCUGGCUGCAACUGUUUAUUAAAAACACAGCACUGUGCAAACACGAAAGUGGACGUAUACGGUGUGACGCCUGCCCGGUGCCGGAAGGUUAAUUGAUGGGGUCAGCGCAAGCGAAGCUCUUGAUCGAAGCCCCGGUAAACGGCGGCCGUAACUAUAACGGUCCUAAGGUAGCGAAAUUCCUUGUCGGGUAAGUUCCGACCUGCACGAAUGGCGUAAUGAUGGCCAGGCUGUCUCCACCCGAGACUCAGUGAAAUUGAACUCGCUGUGAAGAUGCAGUGUACCCGCGGCAAGACGGAAAGACCCCGUGAACCUUUACUAUAGCUUGACACUGAACAUUGAGCCUUGAUGUGUAGGAUAGGUGGGAGGCUUUGAAGUGUGGACGCCAGUCUGCAUGGAGCCGGCCUUGAAAUACCACCCUUUAAUGUUUGAUGUUCUAACGUGGACCCGUGAUCCGGGUUGCGGACAGUGUCUGGUGGGUAGUUUGACUGGGGCGGUCUCCUCCUAAAGAGUAACGGAGGAGCACGAAGGUUGGCUAAUCCUGGUCGGACAUCAGGAGGUUAGUGCAAUGGCAUAAGCCAGCUUGACUGCGAGCGUGACGGCGCGAGCAGGUGCGAAAGCAGGUCAUAGUGAUCCGGUGGUUCUGAAUGGAAGGGCCAUCGCUCAACGGAUAAAAGGUACUCCGGGGAUAACAGGCUGAUACCGCCCAAGAGUUCAUAUCGACGGCGGUGUUUGGCACCUCGAUGUCGGCUCAUCACAUCCUGGGGCUGAAGUAGGUCCCAAGGGUAUGGCUGUUCGCCAUUUAAAGUGGUACGCGAGCUGGGUUUAGAACGUCGUGAGACAGUUCGGUCCCUAUCUGCCGUGGGCGCUGGAGAACUGAGGGGGGCUGCUCCUAGUACGAGAGGACCGGAGUGGACGCAUCACUGGUGUUCGGGUUGUCAUGCCAAUGGCACUGCCCGGUAGCUAAAUGCGGAAGAGAUAAGUGCUGAAAGCAUCUAAGCACGAAACUUGCCCCGAGAUGAGUUCUCCCUGACCCUUUAAGGGUCCUGAAGGAACGUUGA
rnacentral:rRNA from 2 species